GGGGAAUUAGCUCAGUGGGAGAGCACACGACUGAAGAUCGUAUGGUCCCGUGUUCAAUCCACGGAUUCCCCA
rnacentral:tRNA from 1 species